GAAGUUCCUGAGACAAUGAGAGGGAACGCUGGCUCUCUCUCUCUCUUUAUCUUCUUGCAGUAAAGCUCCAAUUCUCCUUGAGGUAAAGUGGAGCCUCUGAUUGAUGCGAGGACGCGGGGAAAAUGAAAGCCAAAUUAUUAUUAUUUCAAGUUGUGUUCUUGUGGCGUUCCCGGAUGUCUGUGGUGACCCUAGUUUGUGUGAAGCCAACAAAACUGACCAGCACACCUUCUGAGUGCUACAGCAGGAUGGAGAUGGGAGGCAAAUUCUUGGAAGCUUGAGGGUGGAUAGCUGAUGUGCCCAGCCCUCUAGCAACAGGCAAACAAGGAGGAGUGUGGAAUGGGAGUCAGUGCUUAAUAGGUGCAAAGUUUCCAUUUGGUUCUAGAGACGAUGGUGCUGAUGGCUAUAAGACGUCUUGAAUGUGCUCAAUGCUACCAAACUGCACAAUUAAAAUGGUUAAGACUGUGAAUGUUGUGUGUAUUUUCCUGCCGCAGAGUACUGUAUUUUUUUCUGGUUCCAUGUGAGACUCUAAGGACACGGAGGUGAGGAAGACAUGCAAGGUCUUGUCUGCAUGGAGUUUACAGUUCUGGAAGAGAUGAGAAGGAAGCUGGAUGGAGAAUAUUUGCCAUUCAUCAGUGCUCCACAGACUGUUACGAUUCCUUCCUGGGGCCAGAGAGACAAUAGGCUUCCAGAGGACCUGAGUUUGAUUUCCAGCAACAACAUGGCAGCUCACUACAGUCUGUAACUGCACUCCUGGUUGGAUCUGCAGGCAUUGUGUGUACAUAAGGAGCGUGGGCAUACACGAAGGCAGAACACUCAUCACAGGUGAAAUUAAAAAAUUAAUAUUGUGAAAAA
rnacentral:lncRNA from 1 species